GCCGCGGCGAUAGCUCAGUGGGUAAAGCGCCAGGUGAGAAGGUGGCGAUUACUCCGAGAGCUAUUAUCUGCGUGGGUUCGAAUCCCGCCUGUGGCA
rnacentral:tRNA from 1 species